rnacentral:rRNA from 1 species
CCUACGGGUGGCUGCAGUGAGGGAUAUUGCACAAUGGGGGGAACCCUGAUGCAGCGCCGCCGCGUGGGUGAAGGAGUGCUUCUGCAUGGAAAGCCCUAUCGGCAGGGGAGAAGCAAGACGGUACCUGACUAAGAAGCCCCUGCUAACUACGUGCAAGCAGCCGCGGUAAUACGGAGGAUGCGAGCGUUAUCCGGAUUUAUUGGGUUUAAAGGGUGCGUAGGCGGAAGGUUAAGUCAGCGGUCAAAUGUCGGUGCUCAACACCGGCCUGCCGUUGAAACUGGUCUUCUUGAGUGAGCGAGAGGUAUGCGGAAGGCGUGGUGUAGCGGUGAAAUGCAUAGAUAUCACGCAGAACUCCGAUUGCGAAGGCAGCAUACCGGCGCUCAACUGACGCUGAGGCACGAAAGCGUGGGGAUCGAACAGGAUUAGAUACCCUUGUAGUC